UACGUAGGGACCGAGCGUUGUCCGGAAUCAUUGGGCGUAAAGAGCGUGUAGGCGGCCCCUCAAGUCCUGCGUGAAAUCCUGCGGCUCAACCGCAGACGGUCGUGGGAAACUGGAGGGCUAGAGUGCGGGAGAGGAGAGUGGAAUUCCCGGUGUAGCGGUGAAAUGCGCAGAUAUCGGGAAGAACACCCGUGGCGAAGGCGGCUCUCUGGAACGCAACUGACGCUGAGACGCGAAAGCGUGGGGAGCAAACAGG
rnacentral:rRNA from 1 species